UCCGGUUUGUCACCGGCAGUCCCCCUAGAGUUCCCGGCCGAGCCGCUGGUAACUAGGGGCAAGGGUUGCGCUCGUUGCGGGACUUAACCCAACAUCUCACGACACGAGCUGACGACAGCCAUGCAGCACCUGUCACCCGGUUCCCGAAGGCACCCUCGCAUCUCUGCAAGGUUCCGGGGAUGUCAAAGGCAGGUAAGGUGGGGAUGACGUGUAACCGAAUCU
rnacentral:misc_RNA from 1 species